rnacentral:rRNA from 1 species
UACAGAGGUCUCAAGCGUUGUUCGGAUUCAUUGGGCGUAAAGGGUGCGUAGGUGGCGUGGUAAGUCGGGUGUGAAAUUUCGGAGCUCAACUCCGAAACUGCAUUCGAUACUGCCGUGCUUGAGGACUGGAGAGGAGACUGGAAUUUACGGUGUAGCAGUGAAAUGCGUAGAGAUCGUAAGGAAGACCAGUGGCGAAGGCGGGUCUCUGGACAGUUCCUGACACUGAGGCACGAAGGCCAGGGGAGCAAACGGG